ensembl:lncRNA
GUGAUGCUAUAGGGACUGAAGUGACUUAGCAGCAGCAGCAGCAGGGAGCAUUGCUCAAACAAACUCAAAACUCUUUGAAAAUUUCCAGUUUUAAAACAUUUACCAAGUUAGUUUUUUUUUUGUUGUUGUUGUUCUGUUUUUGCUGUGCCAUACGGUUUGUGGAGUAUUAGUUCCCCAACUAGGGAUCAAACCUAGGCCUCCAGCAGUGGAAGUGUGGAGUUCUAAUCACUGGACUGCCAGGGAAUCCCAAGGGUUUAUAUUUUGUUUCAGAUGGCAAAGAAUCUGCCUGCAAUCCAGGAGACCUGGGUUGGGAAGAUCCUCUGGAGAAGGGAAUAACAAUCCACUAUUCUUGCCUGGAGAAUUCCAAGGACAGAGGAGCCUGGAGGGUUACAGUCUAUGGGGUCACAAAGAGUCAGACACAACUGAGCGACUAACACUUUCUGAGCAACUAACACUUUCACACUUUUGUUUUGCUUUGCUUUUACCAAGUUAGUUUUCUAAAAAAUAAAAUCUCUUUCUCCUCUGCUCUCUUCAGUGCAGAAAUUAUUCGAGUCCCUCCAAAUGAAAGAUAGGUGUCUCCCACUGCUCUCUGUGCUCUCAGCGUCCUGACGUCCCGAGGCAGAGCCCAGGAUACCAUCACCGCGGGCCCGGGAGUGUGGUGAGAGAGGCAGGCAAGACCUGGGCAGCUGGUGAUUACCCUGCAAGCACCUAGCCAGUUCAAAGAGUUAAUUAUAGGGAAGCUGGAGAUCUUAAAAUUCAAUUGCCAGGAACAAACAAGCAAACAAAAGCUUCGGUGUCUCAUUGUUGACUCUUGGUGGUGGUAAGACAGCCGCUAAUAUGGCAAUUUAACUCUCUGGGUAUUUAUGUAAAUGUGAAAGUUAUUGUGUACAGAUCUUUUAUCAGAAUUAAUCAAAGGUAAGUUAUAAUAAUAAUGAAAAGUCACAACAACAACAACUUACCGUUACUGAGCUCUUGCUAUAUGCUCUGUGCUGUACUUGACUAGCUGUAUUUUCUCGUUUCAUCUCCACAACCAUCCUGAGACAGCAAGUGUCAUGCUCUCCUUUUUACAGUCCAGGAGAUGAAGUCACAGAGAGGUUCCAGAACUUGCCUCGGGCCAUGCUAGGAUCUGAACCCAGAGCUCACAAGCCCUUUAAACUGAGGACGCAGCGCCUCCGGCUCCCUUGGCCUGGAGCGUGGACCAGGAGGGAGGCUUGAGAAUGUGACAGAGCACACACCGGCUGAACAAAGCGAGAGUCUGGGAGGAGAUACAGCGUCGCAGUCCUCACUCGGAGGAGCAGCGUGAACAAAGCAGCUGCGACCCUGCCUAGGAGCCUGCAACGUGGAGUAAUGGGGACUCUGAGCUCGACUGAGCAAGCCCCACGCAGGUGGCAGGCCAGAAGAGUCCGGGUGCCCGCUUUGUCCAGGCGGGAAUUUGGGCUGCCUGGCCCAGGUCUCGGCCACUCUCAGUCAAAAGCCAGCAUUGAUGAGGGAGCUGGGUCUGGUUUCAUUCCAGAGCUUGUGCCCUGAAACAGCAUGAGGCUGAAAGUAGCUC